ACCUGGCGCUAGGGAGGCCGCCAGCCGGCAUUCCAAUACGAAAGCCGAGACUGCGCUUCCUGCGCGGUCCCAACAGUCUUAGUUACGUGGUUAGAGCGAGCUUCGGAGAAGCAGUGGUGGUUUCCAUGUGACGGCGGAGGAAGAGGGAGGUCUUGGAGGUUCUUCUGGGUUGCUCUAAAUGACACUGUUUCAUUAUUUUGAUGGCCAAAUAAUAUUCCCUAGUGUAUGUAUAUGAGAGUUUCUUGAUCCCUUUACCUGUGAAUGAACAGGAGAUAAAACUUUUUUCAGUCUACAUGCCUGCGAUCACAUGGCAUGGGACUUUCUCUACCAGGCUCAUUUUUUAGACCUGAUGUGCUCCAGAUUUCUUUAUGUGGCUGCAGAUGGCAGGAUUUCCCAAAGCUUUGUGGCUGAAACAUAUUUCGUGGUGCAUCUGUACAGCAGUUUCUUCAUCCCUGCAGCUGUGUACGGACAGGUCAUUUACCAUGAUGUCCUCCAGGUUCAACAGUGUGGCUCCAAAUGAUGAAAUUUCAUUCUAUUUUUCUGGUUGAAGAAUAUUCUAUUCGUGUACAUCCACCACAGUUACUUUAUCCCUUCAUCUGUGGAUGGACAGGUUUUUCCACAUGGCUGCAAAUGACUAGAUUUCACCCAUUUCUAUGGUUGAAGAAUAUUCCGUUCUGGAUGAACAUUGCAGUUUCCUCAUCCCUUCAUCAAUGGAUGAAAAGGAGAAAAUCAGCUUCCUGUUUGGAUACUCAUUAGACAUUUAAAGUUCUACAAUGAACCCACUGGAGAUGGAAAGAAAAGCACCUCCAUGAAGAUGGAGACACCUCAAUCGAGCAUCCUCAACUAGCCAGAUGGAGUCUUCCUUCAACAGUGCUCUUCAGGGAAUUGGUGCUGAGGCAGGACAAGAAAACAGCAUGAUAUCAUGGAUUAGAAUUGAUAACUAAAGUAUAAAUAUUCUCAUUAUUUUUUUGGAAAAUUUACAGAAUGUAACAGCUGAUAAUAGCCAACAGAAUACAUGUGCACCCCAAAGUUAUUUGUUGUUUAUUUAAAUUUUAGAGUUAAUUUUAUGUCCUAUAUUUUUAUUUGAUGAAUCUCUCCACUAUGACAAAUCAUAAAACUUGCAAUAGUAUGGUACAGACAUGAAAGUAAUAGUCUAAAAUAAAAAAACAGAGACCUCAUCUAUGGGUGGGUCAGAGUGCACAAGAGAAUUGCAUUCUACCUGAUACUUUAAAAGCUCAUGAAUCUGAAUGUACACCUCAAUUCUCACUCUGAGAAAUGUCAGCCAGAAGCUGCUGGGAAUGACGAUCAAGUUCUUGGGCACCUCAGGAGACAGAUAACACAGAUCAAGUUUAUCCUCAUUACAUUGGCUUUCACCUUAGACUAUUCAAAAUAUUGUAAGCCUAAUGUGUCUGUGUAAUCACAAAUAAUGUGGGGAAAAUGUUACUAUUAAAUAAACCCAAAACAAAAGACUGAUUAUAAAGUCUGUGGGCUUAAAAGAGACCUCUGAAGAAAAAAGGAAUAUGCUAAAAGAAACAAGCCAUUUAUAAAACUUUAGGAGCUACUUUGCAUGAAACUAAUACAUUAUUUGAAAAAAAAAGUUUGUUUAAAUAUCUUUUUAAAAUCUUUAUCAUAAUGUAUCAUUUUAGUGUUAUUUUAUUUAUAAGAAUGAUGUUAGUGUAUAAACGAAUAUACAGUAAUCUUUUCAGUUGAGUGUAAUCUACAUGAGAAAAUUAUUCUGUGUUUUGUCUUAUUACUGAAUUAAUCAAAAAUGUCAUUUCAGUAUGCAUUUUAUCAUAUUCAUUGAGUAGCAUUUUAAGACCUGUGACUAGUCACUGACAACAGAAAAUGUGAGGAUUUCAGGUGAAAUAGCAAUGAAAUAUUUAGGUACAAAUCUAAUAAAAUAAAUAGAAGAUAUAUAUGAAGAAAUCUAAAAAACUGUGAUUAAAAACCUCAGAGAAGAUCUAAGUAAGGGAAGAGAUAAUCCACGUUUAAGAAUAGAAAGAUUGUUAAAAUGUCAGUAGUUCUCUACUUUAUCUACAUAUUCAAUGCAGCCCCACUCAAAAUUCCAGCAAGUUAGUUUGUGAAUUUUGACAAACUGAUUCUAAAAUUUAUAUUGAAAGACGAAAGACUCAGAAUAGCAAAGAAAAUAUUUAAAAAGAAAUGCUAUAGAAGUGACACUACCCAGCUUCAAGAACUCCUAUAAAGCUAUAGUAAUCAAGCAUGUGUCUUUGUAGUAGAAUAAUUUAUAAUCCUUUGGGUAUAUACCCAGUAGUGGGAUGGCUGGGUCAUAUGGUACAGCUAGUUCUAGAUCCUUGAGGAAUUGC